UCAAAUUCAUCAUACUUCACAUCUUCUGUUGAUGCUUCUACAUAUAAUUAUUUAUGGAAAUUUUUCCUGAUUGGUAUCUUUUGCGACCGAAUUUGAUUUUAGGGUUUUCAUACCUUGUGUUGCUUGAUUAAUUGAUUGUGGAAUUAGAUUGUUGAUUGUGUUUUGAUUGAAACCUUGGUUUUCUGAUUGAAUUGUGUUGUUGAUAUGGUUGGGACAAUUUCUUCUUCUUCUUCUACACAGUCACAAACUCUUGAAUUUUCCAUAGAUUCUAAUAUGCAUCCAUUGUUCAUAC
rnacentral:lncRNA from 1 species